AGAGUUUGAUCCUGGCUCAGGAUGAACGCUGGCGGCGUGCUUAACACAUGCAAGUCGAACGUGAAGGUAUAGCAAUAUACCUGAAAGUGGCGCACGGGUGAGUAACACGUAGGUAAUCUACCUUUGAGUGGGGAAUAACGUUCGGAAACGAACGCUAAUACCGCAUAAUGCAGCGGCACCGCAAGGUGACAGUUGUUAAAGGAGCAAUCCGCUUAAAGAGGAGCCUGCGGCAGAUUAGCUAGUUGGUAAGGUAAUGGCUUACCAAGGCGACGAUCUGUAACCGACCUGAGAGGGUGGUCGGUCACACUGACACUGAAUAACGGGUCAGACUCCUACGGGAGGCAGCAGUCGGGAAUUUUGGGCAAUGGGCGAAAGCCUGACCCAGCAACGCCGCGUGAAGGAUGAAGUAUUUCGGUAUGUAAACUUCGAAAGAAUGGGAAGAAUAAAUGACGGUACCAUUUAUAAGGUCCGGCUAACUACGUGCCAGCAGCCGCGGUAAUACGUAGGGACCAAGCGUUGUUCGGAUUUACUGGGCGUAAAGGGCGCGUAGGCGGCGUGUUAAGUCAGCUGUGAAAUCUCCGAGCUUAACUCGGAACGGUCAGCUGAUACUGAUGUGCUAGAGUGCAGAAGGGGCAAUCGGAAUUCUUGGUGUAGCGGUGAAAUGCGUAGAUAUCAAGAGGAACACCUGAGGUGAAGACGGGUUGCUGGGCUGACACUGACGCUGAGGCGCGAAAGCUAGGGUAGCAAACGGGAUUAGAUACCCCAGUAGUCC
rnacentral:rRNA from 1 species